AGUGAACGCUGGCGGCGUGCUUAACACAUGCAAGUCGAGGGGUAACGAGAGGGAAGCUUGCUUUCCUUGUCGACGACCGGCGCACGGGUGAGUAACGCGUAUCCAACCUGCCCCCAACUAAGGAAUAACCUUGCGAAAGUAAGACUAAUACCUUAUAAUUUCCUCAGAUGACAUCUGACGAGGAAUAAAGAUUUAUCGGUUGUGGAUGGGGAUGCGUCUGAUUAGCUUGUUGGCGGGGUAACGGCCCACCAAGGCAACGAUCAGUAGGGGUUCUGAGAGGAAGGUCCCCCACAUUGGAACUGAGACACGGUCCAAACUCCUACGGGAGGCAGCAGUGAGGAAUAUCGGUCAAUGGGCGGAAGCCUGAACCAGCCAAGUAGCGUGCAGGAUGACGGCCCUAUGGGUUGUAAACUGCUUUUAUACAGGAAUAAAGUUAGCCACGUGUGGUUAUUUGUAGGUACUGUAUGAAUAAGGACCGGCUAAUUCCGUGCCAGCCGCCGCUGUAA
rnacentral:rRNA from 1 species